rnacentral:rRNA from 1 species
ACUAAGCAUAUCAAUAAGCGGAGGAAAAGAAACUAACAAGGAUUCCCCUAGUAGCGGCGAGCGAAGCGGGAAGAGCUCAAAUUUAUAAUCUGGCACCUUCGGUGUCCGAGUUGUAAUCUCUAGAAGUGUUUUCCGCGUUGGACCGCACACAAGUCUGUUGGAAUACAGCGGCAUAGUGGUGAAACCCCCGUAUAUGGUGCGGACGCCCAGCGCUUUGUGAUACACUUUCAAUGAGUCGAGUUGUUUGGGAAUGCAGCUCAAAUUGGGUGGUAAAUUCCAUCUAAAGCUAAAUAUUGGCGAGAGACCGAUAGCGAACAAGUACCGUGAGGGAAAGAUGAAAAGCACUUUGGAAAGAGAGUUAACAGUACGUGAAAUUGUUGGAAGGGAAACGCUUGAAGUCAGACUUGCUUGCCGGAGCUUGCUUCGGUUUGCAGGCCAGCAUCAGUUUUCCGGGGUGGAUAAUGACGGUUUGAAGGUAGCAGUCUCGGCUGUGUUAUAGCUUUCCGUUGGAUACGCCCUGGGGGACUGAGGAACGCAGCGUGCUUUUUGCGAAAGACUCGUCUUUUUCACGCUUAGGAUGCUGGUGGAAUGGCUUUAAACGACCCGUCUUGAAACACGGACCAAGGAGUCUAACAUGCUCGCGAGUAUUUGGGUGUCAAACCCGGAUGCGCAAUGAAAGUGAAUGUAGGUGGGAACCGCAAGGUGCACCAUCGACCGAUCUGGAUUUUUUAAGAUGGAUUUGAGUAAGAGCGCGUAUGUUGGGACCCGAAAGAUGGUGAACUAUGCCUGAAUAGGGCGAAGCCAGAGGAAACUCUGGUGGAGGCUCGUAGCGGUUCUGACGUGCAAAUCGAUCGUCAAAUUUGGGUAUAGGGGCGAAAGACUAAUCGAACCAUCUAGUAGCUGGUUCCUGCCGAAG